CAGCGAGUGGGGGAAAUAUUGCACAAUGGGGGGAAAACCCCUGAUGCAGCCAUGCCGCGUGUGUGAAGAAGGCCUUCGGGUUGUAAAGCACUUUCAGUAGGGAGGAAGGUAGUGUAGUUAACACCUGCACUAUUUGACGUUACCUACAGAAGAAGCACCGGCUAACUCCGUGCCAGCAGCCGCGGUAAUACGGAGGGUGCGAGCGUUAAUCGGAAUUACUGGGCGUAAAGCGCAUGCAGGCGGACCUGUUAAGUCAGAUGUGAAAGCCCGGGGCUUAACCUCGGAAUUGCAUUUGAAACUGGCAGGCUAGAGUCUUGUAGAGGGGGUAGAAUUUCAGGUGUAGCGGUGAAAAUGCGUAGAGAUCUGAAGGAAUACCAGUGGCGAAGGCGGCCCCCUGGACAAAGACUGACGCUCAGAUGCGAAAAGCGUGGGGAGCAAACAGGAUUAGAUACCCUGGUAG
rnacentral:rRNA from 1 species